UACGUAGGGGGCUAGCGUUGCUCGGAAUUACUGGGCGUAAAGCGCACGUAGGCGGAUUGUUAAGUCGGGGUGAAAUCCUGGAGCUCAACUCCAGAACUGCCUUCGAUACUGGCGAUCUCGAGUUCGGGAGAGGUGAGUGGAACUGCGAGUGUAGAGGUGAAAUUCGUAGAUAUUCGCAAAGAACACCAGUGGCGAAGGCGGCUCACUGGCCCGAUACUGACGCUGAGGUGCGAAAGCGUGGGA
rnacentral:rRNA from 1 species